rnacentral:rRNA from 1 species
GUACACUCCUACGGGAGGCAGCAGUGGGGAAUAUUGCACAAUGGGCGCAAGCCUGAUGCAGCCAUGCCGCGUGUAUGAAGAAGGCCUUCGGGUUGUAAAGUACUUUCAGCGGGGAGGAAGGCGAUAAGGUUAAUAACCUUGUCGAUUGACGUUACCCGCAGAAGAAGCACCGGCUAACUCCGUGCCAGCAGCCGCGGUAAUACGGAGGGUGCAAGCGUUAAUCGGAAUUACUGGGCGUAAAGCGCACGCAGGCGGUCUGUCAAGUCGGAUGUGAAAUCCCCGGGCUCAACCUGGGAACUGCAUUCGAAACUGGCAGGCUAGAGUCUUGUAGAGGGGGGUAGAAUUCCAGGUGUAGCGGUGAAAUGCGUAGAGAUCUGGAGGAAUACCGGUGGCGAAGGCGGCCCCCUGGACAAAGACUGACGCUCAGGUGCGAAAGCGUGGGGAGCAAACAGGAUUAGAAACCCGAGUAGUCCC